rnacentral:rRNA from 1 species
GACGAACGCUGGCGGCGUGCCUAACACAUGCAAGUCGAACGGACAGACCCUGCGCUUGUGCGGCUGUCGAGUGGCGCGCGCGUGAGUAUCACGUGUGUAUCCUGCCCUUGUCUUUGGGAUAUCUCUAGGAAACUGCGGCUAAUAUCGGAUAGGAGCUCUUGCUGCAUGGUGUGGGUUGGAAAGUUUCGGCGGUUGGGGAUGGACUCGCUGGUUAUGAGCUUGUUUGUGGGGUUGGUGCUUACAAAGGCUAUGACGGGUAGCCGGCCUGAGAGCGGGACCGGGGACCAUGGGACUGAGAGAGGGAGCAGUAGCCAACGGGACGCAGUAGGGGAGAAUAUGGCAGAAUAGGCGGAAGUGUGAUGCAGUAACGCCGCGAGCGGGAUGACGGGCUUCGGGUUGUAAACCGCUUUCGCAUGUACCGAGGCGGGAGUGACGGUAAUGGGUAAAGAAGCAACGGCUAACUACGUG